UGGGGAAUAUUGGGCAAUGGAGGAAACUCUGACCCAGCAACGCCGCGUGGAGGAAGAAGGUUUUCGGAUCGUAAACUCCUGUCCUUGGAGACGAGUAGAAGACGGUAUCCAAGGAGGAAGCCCCGGCUAACUACGUGCCAGCAGCCGCGGUAAUACGUAGGGGGCAAGCGUUGUCCGGAAUAAUUGGGCGUAAAGGGCGCGUAGGCGGCUCGGUAAGUCUGGAGUGAAAGUCCUGCUUUUAAGGUGGGAAUUGCUUUGGAUACUGUCGGGCUUGAGUGCAGGAGAGGUUAGUGGAAUUCCCAGUGUAGCGGUGAAAUGCGUAGAGAUUGGGAGGAACACCAGUGGCGAAGGCGACUAACUGGACUGUAACUGACGCUGAGGCGCGAAAGUGUGGGGAGCAAACAGGAUUAGAUACCCUGGUAGUCCACACUGUAAACGAUGAAUGCUAGGUGUAGGGGGUAUCGACCCCUUCUGUGCCGCAGUCAACACAAUAAGCAUUCCGCCUGGGGAGUACGGCCGCAAGGUUGAAACUCAAAGGAAUUGACGGGGGCCCGCACAAGCAGCGGAGCAUGUGGUUUAAUUCGACGCAACGCGAAGAACCUUACCAGGUCUUGACAUCCACUUAAACUUACAGAGAUGUAAGGUGUGCUUGCACAAAGUGAGACAGGUGGUGCAUGGUUGUCGUCAGCUCGUGUCGUGAGAUGUUGGGUUAAGUCCCGCAACGAGCGCAACCCUUAUCUUCAGUUACUAACGCGUGAGGGUGAGGACUCUGAAGAGACUGCCGGGGACAACUCGGAGGAAGGUGGGGACGACGUCAAAUCAUCAUGCCCCUUAUGACCUGGGCUACACACGUGCUACAAUGGCCACGACAGAGAGAAGCGAAAUCGUAAGGUAGAGCGGAACUCAAAAAAGUGGUCCCAGUUCGGAUUGUGGGCUGCAACCCGCCCACAUGAAGUCGGAGUUGCUAGUAAUCGCGGAUCAGCAUGCCGCGGUGAAUACGUUCCC
rnacentral:rRNA from 1 species